CUUUCAUGAAAGUGGCGUACGGGUGCCCAGCGCGUAUGCUACCUACCUUUUUCAUGGGGAUUGCCCGAAUAAAUUCUUAUUAACACCGCAUUAAAACACAGCUUGGCAUCAAGCAAUGUUCAAAUAUUUAUAGGAUGAAGGUGGGCAUGCGUGUCAUUAUCUAGUUGGUAAGGUAACGGCUUACCAAGGCUACGAUGACUAGGGGAUCUGAGAGGAUGACCCCCCACACUGGUACUGAGACACGGACCAUACUCCUACGGGAGGCAGCAGUAAGGAAUAUUGGUCAAUGGAGGCAACUCUGAACCAGCCAUGCCGCGUGCAGGAAGACUGCCUUAUGGGUUGUAAACUGCUUUUAUACGGGAAUAAACCUUAAUUCGUGAAUUAAGCUGAAUGUACCGUAAGAAUAAGGAUCGGCUAACUCCGUGCCAGCAGCCGCGGUAAUACGGAGGAUCCAAGCGUUAUCCGGAUUUAUUGGGUUUAAAGGGAGCGUAGGCGGCUUGUUAAGUCAGGGGUGAAAGACGGUGGCUCAACCAUCGCAGUGCCUUUGAUACUGACGAGCUUGAAUAUAGUUGAGGUAGGCGGAAUGUGACAAGUAGCGGUGAAAUGCAUAGAUAUGUCACAGAACACCGAUUGCGAAGGCAGCUUACUAAGCUAUUAUUGACGCUGAUGCUCGAAAGCGUGGGGAUCAAACAGGAUUAGAUACCCUGGUAGUCCACGCCCUAAACGAUGAUAACUCGAUGUUGGCGAUAUACAGUCAGCGUCCAAGCGAAAGCGUUAAGUUAUCCACCUGGGGUAGUACGCCCUCAAGGGUGAAACUCAAAGGAAUUGACGG
rnacentral:rRNA from 1 species